UUAGCUCUUGGUAAUAAUUUUGUCAUUUUAGACAUCUAAAGCUCUCAAUAUCCCGAUUGGGGACCUGGAAACCCUGAAAGCCCCGCAUCAACUGGGUGAACAAACUGUGGAAGAAUUUGUGCAAGAAGUAAAAGAAUGGGCCGAUGGUAAGAAAGUGAAACAUUAUCUGACAUGGAGAAACAUUUGUGUCGUUUGUGAAGUUGACGCUACCUGCAAUCAAUUUUGUCAGGAGAAAUUGACCAUCAAGGCACACCACAAGCUUUGUGUAAGAAGAUUGAGGCCUUAACAACCAGCAUCAACACGAGAGCUCAACUCCUAUAUUGGAAAAAUGGUAUGUUAACAUUUAAGGCCUUUUCAGAUCACAGUCUGAAAUGUCUCCAAACUCACUUCAUAAUUGGCAAAUUACACAGAGUGGUAUGCAUUUCAUGUACUGUGCGUAUUCUUUAGUGGUGGAAGAAGUAUCAUAUCCUUUACUUAAAAGCAUGAAGUCUGUUUACAAAGUAAGAAAUACUGAUACUACACUGUAAAAUUACUCUGAUCACAAGUAAAAUAUUCAGUAUAAUCAGUAAAGUAUCCUUAAAGCACUAAAAGUUGAAGUUGUCCAAUAAUUGUAGUGAAGUAAAAAGUAAAAUACUUUCUUCUGAGAUGUAGUGCAGUAGAAGAAGAAAGUAGCAUAAAAAGAAAAGUGCCAGUACCUCAAAUUUAUACUAAAGCACAGUACUUUAGGGAAUACACAUUUCAUCAUUAGUAUUCUUACAUUUAGGUGUUCCAGUGGACAUAUUUGCAUUCUGACCAAGUGUGCAUAUGUAUGACAGAAAUGAUCUCUGAAGCUACAUGCUAUAUGCAGUGGUCUGAACUUUUCAUAUUGAUGUAUUACAGGCUCUGCUGAUUUCAGCACAAAGAAAGAAGUCUUCCAUAGGGUCAUGGGUGUUCGAAGGCUUCAAGAGGAGAAGAAGAUCCUUGUGAAAGAAAUGAAGCAGCACUGGGAGUCUCCCAAAGCCCAUGCCAGGGUCUUGUCCGAGUUGCCUCAGCAUCAGAGUGAAGACGCCAUGCAAAGACAUCUCACAGAGAAAGCAACAAAGGGUCACACCUGCCUCAUCCUUCCAGUGGGAAAUGAGAGAGCUGCAGCGGCAUACAAGAAAACACUACCUGCAUGUGCUGUCAUCAGCAGAUGACAUAAUGGACACAAUGGACAGUUCAGAUGAGUUCGACAUUGGCUGUGAAGAUUCAGAGUCAGAUGCAAUGUAAAACAGGAAGAUGUGGUGCUCAUGAUCACAGUGCACCGUGUGCGACACAUGGUCACACAGAGCAUGUGGCUUUAAAAAGUGACUAACGUAUGUGCUCAUUGUCAGGAUUAAGUUGGAGAUGACAGUUGUAGUUUUUGUAUUAGGUUGUUGUUAUUUCUGCAUUUGGUUUUGAAAUGUUUCAUCACUUAUAUAAGGUUGGAUUUUUCUACUGGGUUGUGGGAAGUUCCUGGUCUUACAUCUUUACAACACAAACCACUGUCCUUUACUGUCUUAUCUUUGAUUCACGUUCAGUUCUGCAUCUUUUCAGGGAUUUUCUUUCCAGUUGAUCUUUACUGUUUGAUUAAUAAUUGUUCUUUAAUGUUUAAUUAAACAAAGGCACAAUGAAGCUACAUUUCUGAUUGAGUCCUUGGAUGUUACUACUGUUAGACUUAUUUUAUCUGAGCAAUUCCCACAUGCUUUCAGAGUACAUGAAUUCAGUAUAUGGCAAGAGGAGAGAUUCAGAGGAAGGACUAGUGAUAUGGGAUUUUCAGCAUCAAGUUUUCAAUAACAUGAACAGUUUUAAUGCAAUUAUAUAGUAUAACAUCCAACUUUACACAGGUUGAAUGAUUUAGCAAACCACAUUUCAUAGUGAUAUACUGUAUAUCAGAUGAACUAGCCAACGUCAAAACGUAUGUAACAUGUAAAGAAAAGACUCAAAGUAAAAGUAUCUCAAAUUUGUACUUAAUUACAGUACUUGAGUUAAAGCACUUUAUUACAUUCCACCACUGGUGACACAGAGACAUAUGCAAAGCACCCGGUAGAUUCAAAUGACUAUAAUUAGGACUAUGACCAAAUAAUAUAUAUAUAUAUAUAUUACCGCUCCCACACAGACACACGGCCAUGGGCCUGCAAUCUACAACUGCAUGACCAUAAAGUGGAUUUUUUUGGAGGAUGUGGUGGCAUAUUAGAGGUUUUGAGAGUGCUGCCUGUUGAAGAAUGCUCUUUAUUAUUAU
rnacentral:lncRNA from 1 species